UACGAAGGGGGCUAGCGUUGCUCGGAAUCACUGGGCGUAAAGCGCACGUAGGCGGAUUGCUAAGUCAGGGGUGAAAUCCUGGAGCUCAACUCCAGAACUGCCUUUGAUACUGGCGAUCUCGAGUCCGGGAGAGGUGAGUGGAACUGCGAGUGUAGAGGUGAAAUUCGUAGAUAUCUGGAGGAACACCGGUGGCGAAGGCGGCAUCCUGGACCGACACUGACGCUGAGGAGCGAAAGCCAGGGGAGCAAACGGG
rnacentral:rRNA from 1 species